GUCAACUCCAGGUUAUGCUUUACCAUGACAACAGAGCCACGCAUGCAAAUUGUACAUACCAUAGUAUACAUAAGCAAUAGUCAGAGAGAUAAGGUUAAUACAUGAGUUGGCAUUUUAGAUAUUAAGGAACAAACAUAAUGCAUUUUACAACUAGGGUCAGUAACGAGAUGUGGCAGGUGAGCUCUAGGCUAAAAGGUGGGCAUUGUGUGAAGGAUAUAUGUUCCACGAUCGUAGUGGCUUUAGUUAAGGGGCCAUACCGUUAGAUGUUGGGAAGUUGCUAGGUAUGAGGAUAUGGUAACCAGAACGGUAGGUCUGAGUUUGGGCCUUAUCGGAAAGACUUUGGUCACUAGACAGUUGAAAUAAAAUCUUAUGCCUCUUUCGGUAAUGGAGUGGACAUAUUUUAUAGUGACAUGAGGUGGGGGGGAGGAAGGAGGGGUGUCAUUCAUGAGCUAUACCUAUCGGUCUGCUUUUAAGGUCAGGUCAGGUGCCUAAUCUGCU